CCUACGGGUGGCAGCAGUGGGGAAUAUUGCACAAUGUGGGAAACCCUGAUGCAGCGACGCCGCGUGAGUGAAGAAGCGUUUCGGCGCGUAACGCUCUGUCAGCGGGGACGAAACACGGUUCGCGAGAGCCGCGGACGGUACCCGACCAAGAAGCCCCGGCUAACUACGUGCCAGCAGCCGCGGUAAUACGUAGGGGGCAAGCGUUCACCGGAUUACCUGUGUGUAAAGGGAGGGUAGACGGAGAGACAAGUCUUGAGUGAAAGGCCGGGGCCCAACCCCGGGACUGCUCUGGAAACUGCCUGGCUGGAGUACAGGAGAGGUAAGUGGAAUUCCUAGUGAAGCGGUGAAAUGCGUAGAUAUUAGGAGGAACACCAGUGGCGAAGGCGGCUUACUGGACUGUAACUGACGUUGAGGCUCGAAAGCGUGGGGAGCAAACAGGAUUAGAUACCCUAGUAGUC
rnacentral:rRNA from 1 species